GGGGAAUAUUGGACAAUGGGCGCAAGCCUGAUCCAGCAAUGCCGCGUGUGUGAAGAAGGCCCUCGGGUUGUAAAGCACUUUUAUCAGGAGCGAAAUCUGCAAGGCUAAUACCCUUGUAGUCUGACGGUACCUGAGGAAUAAGCACCGGCUAACUCCGUGCCAGCAGCCGCGGUAAUACGGAGGGUGCAAGCGUUAAUCGGAAUUACUGGGCGUAAAGCGUGUGUAGGCGGUUUGUUAAGUCUGUUGUGAAAGCCCCGGGCUCAACCUGGGAAUGGCAAUGGAUACUGGCAAGCUAGAGUGUGAUAGAGGAUGGUGGAAUUCCCGGUGUAGCGGUGAAAUGCGUAGAGAUCGGGAGGAACAUCAGUGGCGAAGGCGGCCAUCUGGAUCAACACUGACGCUGAGACACGAAAGCGUGGGGAGCAAACA
rnacentral:rRNA from 1 species